CAACUUUCAGCAGUGGAUGUCUAGGCUCGCACAU
rnacentral:rRNA from 2 species